AAAAAAAUGUAUGUGCAAAAGCGACUCGAAGACGAUUUAGAUUUGUCUCCUGAAUAUAAAACUUCCAAGAAGUACAUCAUAUAUGAAUAUCCUGUAUCCUCGCAUUUGAUGUAUCGAACUGGCGAUAGAAUGAAAUCAGUCAGUGUUAAAAAUGUAUGUGUAAAAGCGACUUUAAGAUGAUGGAGAUUUGUACACUGAACAUAAAACUUCCAAAAUUUGGGGCAGUAUG